GACGAACGCUGGCGGCGUGCCUAAUACAUGCAAGUAGAACGCUGAAGGAGGAGCUUGCUUCUCUGGAUGAGUUGCGAACGGGUGAGUAACGCGUAGGUAACCUGCCUGGUAGCGGGGGAUAACUAUUGGAAACGAUAGCUAAUACCGCAUAAGAGUAGAUGUUGCAUGACAUUUGCUUAAAAGGUGCAAUUGCAUCACUACCAGAUGGACCUGCGUUGUAUUAGCUAGUUGGUGGGGUAACGGCUCACCAAGGCGACGAUACAUAGCCGACCGGAGAGGGGGGUCGGCCACACUGGGACGGAGACACGGCCCAGACGCCUACGGGAGGCAGCAGUAGGGAAUCUUCGGCAAUGGACGGAAGUCUGACCGAGCAACGCCGCGGGAGGGAAGAAGGGUUUCGGAUCGUAAAGCUCUGUUGUAAGAGAAGAACGAGUGUGAGAGUGGAAAGUUCACACUGUGACGGUAUCUUACCAGAAAGGGACGGCUAACUACGUG
rnacentral:rRNA from 1 species